GACGAACGCUGGCGGCGUGCCUAAUACAUGCAAGUCGAACGCACUCUCGUUUCUAUUAAAGUACUUUGCUCCUGAUUGAUAAACUUUUGAGUGAGUGGUGUACGGUUCAGUAACACGUGGGUAACCUGCCCUAAAUUUGGUGAUGACAUUUGGAAACAGAUGCUAAUACCGCUUAAAACCUAACUCCGCAUGGUGUAGGGUUGAAAGAUGUUUUCUUCUUUCACUUUUGGUUGGCCCCCCGGUGCGUUAGUUAGUUGGUGAGGUAAAGGCUCACCAAGACCGUGAUGGAUAGCCGACCUGAGGGGGUAAAGGGGGACACUGAGAGUGAGACACGGCACAGAGACCUAGGGGAGGCAGAAGUAGGGAAUCUUCGAAAAAGGACGAAAGACUGAAGGAGCAACGCAGCGUGGAUGAAGAAGGUUUUCGGAUCGUAAAACUCUGUUGGUGGAGAAGAAUGUAUCUGAUAGGAACGGAGCAGGUAGUGACGGUAUCCAGACAGAAAGCAACGGCUAACUACGUG
rnacentral:rRNA from 1 species